NNNNNNNNNNNNNNNNNNNNNNNNNNNNNNNNNNNNNNNNNNNNNNNNNNNNNNNNAUCAGGGACCAACCCGGGAACCGGCACCAGCAACACGGCACCGCCGGGAACCGGCAGCGAUCAGGGACCGACCCGGGAACCGGCACCGACCCGGGAACCGGCACCGAUCAGGGACCGACCCGGGAACCGGCACCGACCCGGCACCGACCCGGGAACCGGCACUGACCUGCCGACGGCACCCGGGAACUGGGACCUGGCACCGAUCUGGCACCGCCAGCACCCGGCACCGAUCAGGGACUGACCCGGGAAUUGGCACCGACCCGGCGCCGCCGGGAACCGGCACUGACCUGCCGACGGCACCCGGGAAUCGGCACCGACCCAGCACCGACCCGGGAUUGCCGGGACCAGACACCGACCCGGGAACCGGCAUCGACCCACCGACAGCACCUGGGAACUGGGAACCGGCACCAGCGACCCGGCACCAGCGACCCGGCAGCGACCCGGCACCGCCACCGCCGACAGCAUCCAGCACCCGGGACCAACCCGGCGCCACCGGGAUCCGGCAGCGCCGCAGCUGCUGAGACCCGCCGGGACCCGGCAGCAGGAACCGGGGCCGCCCCGGGACCAACCUAGCCGGGCCGGGAGCAGGACGGCACCGGGACAGCGACCGGGACCGGGACAGCACCCGACCUGCCCCGGCACCGCCGCAGCUGCCAGCACCCGGCACCGGCACCGGGACAGGGGACAGGGACAGGGACCGCGACCGGGACGGCACCGGAACCACCACCGCAACCGGGCCCGGGCCGGCACCAGCACCAGCACCGGGCUGGAGUGGGAUGGGGACAGGAUGGGGACCAGGACCAGGAUGGCACCCGGAGCAGGACAGGAGCCGGAUGGGGCUGGGGACGGCGCUGGGACAGUGAGGGGCCAGGGAUGGCGGGGACAGAGGCCACAGGGCCCCCGCGCGCUCCAGGGUGCUGCGUGCACACACGCGUGUGCGAGCAUGUGUGUGUGUACACACGCGCACGCAUGUGCAACCCCCCCUCAGGGGCUGCCCAGGCGUGUGCACACGCGUGUCUGUGCAGCUCCCAGGACGGGCACGUGUGCAUGCAGACCCCCUUGGGGACACGCGGAGGCACACGUGCGCACGCACGGCUGCACACGCGUGUGCACGCCCUCAUGGCAUGUCUGUGCCCACGUGGGCAUGCAGCCCCUCAGGGGAAGGGCCACGCUGCAUGUCCGUGGUGAUGCGUGUGCACGUGUGUGCACGCGGUCGCAGGCCAUAUUGAGCAAAUGCACUGGGCACACGCG
rnacentral:lncRNA from 1 species